UAGCAGGAAGAGAGUGAGGCCGGCUGCACAUCAGCCCCUGUAAAUGCAGACGCUGGAAUCCAAUCAAACAGGGUGUUUGAGGAAUUCGCUUUGUGGGCCAGUUAAGUGGUAUCUGAAUCAAGGGGACGCAGGAGACUGUGGUACCAGCAUCUCUCCCAUUGGGUCUGGCCCUAUGUCUCCCACAAACCACAGAUUCUCUAAGGACUUCAGGGAGAGCAGUGACAGCUCUGGAAUUCUCCAUAAAAGCUGGGUGGGGGGAGUUAGAGACUGAGUGGAUUUGAGCAAGAGACUCUGGACUCUUCCGGACAGGAGCGGUCAGCCAGUGCGGCCAUGCAGGAAGAGCUGGCCCGUGGGCAAGAUGGAAGCGGCCUAGGAUGCAGAAGGCAGAGCUUGGUGUGAGAGAACUGGAGAGGAAAAUGGAGGCUCAAAGGAAUUAAGGAGCUUGAAUCAUGGUCUGGCUGAGCCCAGGCCCAGGACUGCUGCUGUUCAGCCUGACUCCCUUCUUCUGCGAAGUCAAGACUUGGUUGGCUUCCUUAGCCAGCAACGUCACUUCAGCCUGGACAUGCUGGGAUGCCUGGCAGACGUCCCAGUGACACUGCACCUCUGAAUGGGCCCUUCUGGCUACCAUCCUGGGAGGAAGAACAUUUUUUCCAGCAGGGCCUCAAUCCAUCCUGUGAUGGUCCAGACUUCUGAGGUGAAAGAGAGCAGAGGAGUUCCUCCCAUGAGACCCCUUCCACACUUGUUUCUGAGAGGUGUCCUUGCUGCCUGCACCAUGGAGAAAGGCAGGCGACCAAGGGCUUCCAAAAGACUUUCUCUGGGCAGCUUGUCACCCACUCCAGGAGAGGUCCGUGCCACCCCUCGCUGCCCUGGAGACACCUGCCUGGACUCUGGCCCACAGUGGCCCUCUGGAUGGGGACACAGCCAGAACAGCAGAAACCUGCUCAUUCAAUUGUCCUGAGAAAAACCUAGAAUCAGCUUCAGAUAUGGAUUGCACAGUGGAGGGAUUAAAAACAAACACAUGAGAACAUUGACUUCAGAUGUCCAGCAGACAGAGAUCCCAGUCAGAGAUGAGCUAUGUAGGGGCAGGGGAGCAGCCGCCUUCUGGACAAGCAUACUGUGUCACAAAUGAGGGUCUGCAUGGACCAUUUCUGUACCCUGUUUAGGCACCAGUAAGUCUUAAAACUCAACAUUCAGAAAACUAAGAUCAUGGCAUCUGGUCCCAUCACUGCAUGGCAAAUAGAUGGGAAAACAAUGGAACCAGUAAGAGACUUUAUUUUGG